rnacentral:rRNA from 1 species
UACAGAGGUGGCAAGCGUUGUCCGGAAUUACUGGGCGUAAAGGGCUCGUAGGCGGCCGCCUAAGUCAGACGUGAAAUCCCCAAGCUUAACUUGGGAACUGCGUCUGAUACUGGGUGGCUUGAGUUCGGGAGAGGAAUGUGGAAUUCCAGGUGUAGCGGUGAAAUGCGUAGAUAUCUGGAGGAACACCGGUGGCGAAGGCGGCAUUCUGGACCGAAACUGACGCUGAGGCGCGAAAGCUAGGGGAGCAAACGGG